CCCUCUCCCUCCCUCUCCCUUCCUGCCCUCUCUUGCUCUCCUGCUCUCUGAAGCUCUCUCUCCCUUGCUCUUGGAUUUGAAGAAUCUUUACAGAAGGAACUCCAGGUCCAGAGGCAGUGCAACCAAGUGACCAUGGACUGGGACCUCUAAAACCAAGACCUUUCUUCUUUAUAAGUUCAUCAUCUCAGAAAAGACACUUGAAGGUUCCCGACUAAGGAGGCUACACACACCUGAUUCCCUCUUGCGGCCUCUCAGCUGGUGCUGUGUCUCAUUUCCUGAAGGUCUACAGGAAUGACCUAUUGGCAUCCAGGAUUCUUUUCUAGGUGUCCAUCUUGUCACUUGCUCCCACAAUGCACUGUUCUGCUGACCUUCAUUAUGCUGACAUCUAUCCCCACCCCUUCAAAUGUAAUCUACUCAUCCCUCACUAAUCCACUGCUCAGAUGUUUAUUGAAUGUCUACCUGGAUGAAACGAAAGUGUGGAAAGAAAAGAAAAACAGAAGACACGGAUACAUCUUUAUCCUCAAGUAAGCCAGCAACGGAGAGAUUGGGGAAACUGAGGUAGAAAGUCACAGAAGUUUAUCCCUUUACAGGAAGUGUCUGAUUGCUGCUGUCUUAGGGAGUAUAUUAGUCAGGAUGGUGGCAGGCUCUGCUGCAGUAACAAAUGAACCACUAAGUGUUUGUGGUCUGCAAAAUAUAUAUUUCUCUUUUCCAAAUAUUCUUAUGUUGGUCAGGCAGCUCAACAGACCCCUCCAGGCUCCAGGAUCAAAGCUGCCCUCACGUUCUAAGUCUAACUUUAACCAGCAGCUUCUGUUCCCUGAUAAUGGGGAGAGCUGGAGAGCUGUAAUCUCCACUUCUGAUACUGCAGCCCAACAGGAAUGUGCUCUUUCUCAAAGUCUAUUAACUGAGGACGGUGGCUCUACCCAACUGCAAGGGGCCUGAGACAGGCUGGGGAAACAUGAGAAAGGACCUUAAAUUACAGUUCUCCAUUCCAGACUGCAUGUAAGUAGAAGAGCCCAGAUGCUGCUGAUAAAUCGGAAGGAGGGAUUCGAGAGACAAGGAAGCAGCAGAGGAGAUGGGGGCUCCAUUCAGGGAGAGAAAGGAAUAGUAAACCCAAAACUUUGGGAAAGGCAGUGGUGAAGUGUGCAGUGCAAAGUCACAAAUCAGCCAGGACGGUCUUGAGGGACCUAUCCCUGGCAGGGCUCCUGGGUGCAGAGAGAAUCUCUAUAUAUUAUAUGGAGGCAUCGGCUGUCAAUUUAAAAACCUAUGGCCUAUAGGAAAGGGUAAAUAGAAGGUGGGACACCUGGGAGACAGAGAGGAUUCUGGGGUAGAUUGAGGUAUGGGAGAUUCACCAGGGAAGAUGAGACAGAGGGAUGGUACCUGAGCCACAUGGCAGAAUGUAGAUCAGAAUAAGUGGGAUAUAUUAAAUUAUGAUCUAAACAGGGAAGAGCCUUGCUAUAUGGCAAGGUAUUCCUUUAAAUCUAUUUUUUGAUUCUGAGUCUUAUUUCAGGAAGCAUAGGGCUAAAGAGGAAGAGCCAGACAUAACUUCUGCUCCUUCAUCCCACAUAAGGAGGUAACAUGAAGCUCAGAGUGACUGCUCCAGCCUCUGAGCUGGCAAAGCAGAGAUGGAAGGGCAGAUGUCUCCGUUCCUCAGUCCUCUCCCUGCCUCACCAAACCAUUCUCUGCCGGGCACCAAGGGAGCAGCAAAGCUGCCUGUGGCUUCAGCCAAGCAGCUGCGGUGUGAGCCUCCCCAGUCCUUCAGCUUCUUUGGAGUCUCCUGAACCACCUGCUUCCCUGUCCCCACCAGCAAGCGCUCUUUGGCUUUUUUCAUUUAAUUUUUAAAAUUGACCGUUUUAAGAUUUUAAAUAUGUAGCUGGGCAGUAGUGGUGCGUGUCUUUAAUCCCAGCGCCUGGAAGGCAGAGGCAGGAAGAUCUCUGAGUUUGAGGCCAGCCUGGUCUACAGAGAGAGUUCUAGGACAGUCAGGCAUAAACAGGAACCCUGUCUCGGGGGAAAAAAAUAGGUAUGUAUGAGUGCCUCUCUCUCUGUGUGUGUGUGUGUGUAUCAUGUGCAUACCUGGUGUGUCAGAUCUUCUGAAACUGGAGUUGCAGGCAGUUGUGAGCCACCAUGUGGGUGCUAGGUACCCAACCAGAGUUCUUUGGAAAAGCAGCAAUUGCUCUUAACCACGGAGGCAACGCUCCAGCCCCUCUAAUGUUCUUUGGGAAGCUCCACUGAUGGCUGCCUCUCCAGCCUGCUAAGUGGAGCCUUUCCCAGGCUCUGGCAUCUGCUCUCUGUUCCCUAUGCUCUCUCUUUAUCUCCUCUAAAAUGGGGCUUACGAUGUCUGGCUGGCUGUGCUUUUCCAUGUCCUGAUCAUAAGUUUGUCUCUUGGGUCUGUUUCUGUUCAUGGCUUCCAACCAGUGGUGAAACUCCCAAGCUCUCUUCCAGAGCUCCUGGACCACAGUUCUGAUGGAUGUGCUUGUGCUAAUACAUAAAAUGCCUGGGAUCGUCUAUCUCGACCAUUCCACCUGAUGUGAUUAAGAAUUACCUAAGAGGCAAAGCUCUGAGCUGGUCUGUGAUGAUGCUUCCAGAGAAGUUUAACUAAAGAAGGAAGAUUCACUUGCGACAUGGACGGCAUCCUUCCUUCCCUGGGUAGGAUAGGCUCCCAGACUGACCAAGAGGAAGAAACUAAGUACUAUGUUUAUCUCCCUCUGCUUCCUGACCAGUCUUGGUCUCUUGAGAGCACACCUCCUAGCCUCAUGGACUAUCCAAUCAGAUGGAGAGCCAAAAUUCUUCCUUAGUUCCCCCCCCCCCUUUUUUCCCUGAUAUUUCAUUACAUCACUGAAAAAGUAACCAAUGCAACAGUACAAAUCUGUUCAGUCUCUUUCCACAACAUGAACUCUAUUUCCUUGUGUUGAGCUCCAGGAGUCCCCUCACAAACCACGAGAACACCAACCUUAGUCAGACAGGGAUAGUUCAUUGAGCAUCCACCCCAGGACUGAUCGAUCAGGGCCAUGCCCCAGGUUUGGGAACUGAAUGGUGACCCUGAGUUAAGAUACUAUAGGGCUUUUUAAGCCUGAGAUCUACAUAUAUCUGUGCCAAGUUAUUCCACCAACUAGGAUUUAGGAAUAGGGGAUUUCCUUAGGCACAUGUCUCUGUUGUAUACUUAUCCUGUUCCCAUUGGUUGGGGUAUUCAACUGCGGCAGGAGACUUGUCUAACAUUCACGUCUUAACUUGUCUACCAGGAUGGGACUUGUCUUGUAACAUUCACAUCUUAACUUGCUAACCAGAUAGAUGUUAGCUAUGUUAGCUACAAGUAUAUGUCUCUUUCUGCCAAGUAGGAUGUCAGUUCCCAGGGAGGCCUUGGGAACUUAAAUUUUACUCCACCACUACUCAAAACUGAAAUCUUAUUCCAAAUAGUUUCUUAUAUUGGUGCGUGUAUCUCUCUUAUGUUGGGCUCCAACCCAGGGGGCAGCUUAUAAAAGAAAAUACCAUAAAAGCUUCUACAUAGGUGCAGGAAGUGCUACUGGUUGGUUAGCUUGGGUCCAAGUUUAUCGUGAGUAACUAUACAAAGCAGUUCUACUGACUUCUACCAUGAUUAGUUUCUAAGGACACAGAAGAUAACAGAAUAUGUAAUCAACUUGACAUUAAAAAGUUUCCUAGUAACAACAGAAACAUAUGAGUAAGUCUCUUUAUAAUGGCACGCUAACCUGGUAACAGUUACCUAGGCCUUAGCAUUUUAUCUAGGUUUAGACACCCUAACCCCAUGGUCCCGAUGCCCUUCAUUCUUAGAACUGCUCCAGGCCAGCAUCUGGGACCCUGUCUAUUUAUGCAUGCAUCCAGGCAAUCCCCACUUCCAUUUCUCCUACCCUGGUCUGCAUCCUUCCUCUUCUCUCUUCCAUCCAUCUUGCUUAGAAUAUUGAGCUUUGUCUUCUUCGGAAUUCCAUUCAGCUUCCUGCUGGGUCCUCCUGGUUUUCCUUCCCACUCUCACCAUCUGGCUAACAUACUUCCUGAAGCUUGGCUCUGCCCCUUCUCGCCUUCAGUACUGAGAUCCUUUGGGUUAUCUGCAAACUCACCCUCCACCACCUUGUAUAGUUUAAGACGGGGUCUUCUACGUAUCGCAGGCUGACGUUGAACUUACAAACUUGUCUCAGCCUCCCCUGGGAUCACAGGCAUCCUUUGGCAUGCUAAGUUGCUUGCCAGCAUUAUACCUGGGGUCUGCAUGCGUGCGCGGGCCCUGUCAGUUUUACUGGCCUAGGUGCACAUUUCUCACACUCUAAGAAAACUGGUUGAUUCUGGUUCUCCCAGCAUAUCUAGAGUUGCUUUUCUGCUGGCCCUUGCUCCAGCUCCUGCUUCUCCUUCUGUUGAAUCUUACUCAUCUGUUGAAUUUAAUAAUGAAUACAUCCCAGCGGUGGCGGCAGGUUCACCUUAGGCAGGACAAUAGCUAGGCCAGCUAUCUAAACUCCACCCAGUUAAUCCGCCGCCCACCAAUAAUCCCAGGUGUAUUCUACCCUGACUACCCUGGACCCAGGUGGGCAGCCCUCUCGGGUCGCGCUCUCCCGGCUUCUCCAUGGCAGCUCUGCCUCUCUGUCCAGCACUCUUCUCAGGGAUGGCGGGUCUCCUCUCCUCCACACUCUGUGUCUUUCUCCUCCUCUUCCCAGUCCCAAGCCCAGGAAUUCUCAAGUCCUGCCUCAGUCUGCCCUGCCCAACCACUGGCUGCCGGCAUCUCUAUUUACCCGUCAGAAUCAACUGGGGGCAGUUGUGCAGACACUUGAGCAAGCAGCUCUGGGGACCCAAGUUAGCAUUAGAGUUCGAGCAACCUUAGGCCAAACUCACCAUACCCAUCUUUCAGAAGGUAAUUCUCCUGCCUCAGCCUCCCAAGAGCUGGGAUUACAGAAUGGGCUCUAUGACAUCCAAAGUUAACUUUUAAGUUUUUUGGGUUUUUUGUUUUGUUUUUCGACACAGGGUUUCUCUGUGUAGCCCUGGCUGUCCUGGAACUCACUCUGUAGACCAGGCUGGCCUCGAACUCAGAAAUCCGCCUACCUCUGCCUCCCAAGUGCUGGGAUUACAGGCAUGUGCCACCACGCCCAGCUAAAUUUUAAGUUUUAAUCAUUGUGCCUAAGAGAUCCAUGAACAAAAAAUGUCUAUGACUUGUAAACUUCUUCAAGGACAGAUAGUUCCUGAAAUGCUGGCGGCCAAUGUUUAUGGAAGACUAUAAGUCACAUGUUUUCACUUCCCUAAACAAAUUUGUUUGACCCAACUGUACCUCAUGUGCUUGAUCACAGGGAGUUGAAAGAUAGACAGGCAGGAAAUAAAUCAUGAUAUAUGCUUGCCUCUCAUUGGACUUGAUGGGAAAUAUAGCAGCCUAAUGGCGUGCUUUUAUAAGCCUCUGCUAAAUGUGAUUGGUGUGCAUUUUCUAGGAACUCCAGAAUGGUCCUGGCCAGAGUGGAUUAUCAUGGCCAGUAUUUAACUAAGGCUUGCUUCAAAUUUAACUCAAAACUAGUGGGAUUGUCUUUUUCUUGAUCACCACCACAGGAGCUCUCCAAGCCUCUUCCAGUGCCAUAAUUCUCCACAGGGACUUGCCUGGCUUUGUUACCAAGCGUUCCCAUAUCUUUUGCUUUUGAAACGUUUUUGUUUGUAACUCACAAAAAAAAAAAAAAAAAAAAAAAAAUGCCGCUUUUGCGGCUAACCAAUGUCUGUGUGUGUGCUCAGAGGACUUCUGUUUGCAGCCCCACCCCCACCCCCCAGCCAGUGGCUCUCCUCACAUGUCUUCAGAAAGAGAACUGCUACUGUGUUUAAGGAAGCAGGUCCUUCUGAGGCGCUUGUGUUUUCAGUUACAAGACUAAACUUCCCACAAACUGGGUUAUUGCCAAUUCAGGCAGUGGCUGGGCUUCUUGUUCUGUAAAUGUUCUCGAAGCUCUGUUGGUUGAUUCUGUGACCUGUGGGAGCCCAAUCUGGCUGCUUUGCAUAUGCUUUAGGGGUUUCCCAGGCUGGUGAUUCUUCUGGAAUAUUCCAUCAGUUCUCACUUCUGUGAAACCCAUCUCAACCUGACCACACUGGAGAGGCCAGGCAGGUACUUGAAGGGGAAUUCAGUUCUGAGUAGGACUCUCUCUGUGUAACUGAGGCUCAAAGCAUCAACAGAGCUACAGGGCAGCAAGUGGACUGGACUCAGUUACCUCAGAGCCACAAGAAAUCUAUCUGGGUACAGGUAACUCAGGAGGCUGAGAGGCCAAGGGAGAAAUGAGAGCUACUUACUGGAGCAGUGCCCUCAGGGGAGCUAAGUGAAACCUCCUUCAACAGUGGCUAGAGCUGGCAUCACCCCUGUGCACGCAAGACCUCCCUGUGGGAGCUUCAAAACAAAAGCAGGGAUCAGAAACAAUACCCGCAGGCUGUAAAAUGUAGGAAGUGGAGCUUGGGGAAUGGCUCAGUAGUUAAGAUCAGCUGUCUGCUCUUCCAGAGGAAGACAGCAGUUACACCAGGCAGUUAGUUCAUGCCAAGUCUGUAACUCCAGCUCCAGGGGAUUCGUCACCUCCGUCUCUGAUGACAUCUGCUCUCCUAAGUGCAUACCCAUACAGAGACAUACACGGACACGUAAUUAAUUAAAAGUAAGAAUU